rnacentral:rRNA from 1 species
CCUACGGGAGGCAGCAGUGAGGUAUAUUGGUCAAUGGGCGGAAGCCUGAACCAGCCAAGUCGCGUGAGGGAUUACGGCCCUAUGGUUCGUAAACCUCUUUUGUCAGGGAGCAAUGCCGUGCACGUGUGCCCGGAUGGAGAGUACCUGCAGAAAAAGCAUCGGCUAACUCCGUGCCAGCAGCCGCGGUUAUACGGAGGAUGCGAGCGUUAUCCGGAUUUAUUGGGUUUAAAGGGUGCUUAGGCGGUACUUUAAGUCAGCGGUAAAAUUGCGGUGCUCAACGCCGUACGGCCGUUGAAACUGGGGUUCUUGAGUGGGCGAGAAGUAUGCGGAAUGCGUGGUGUAGCGGUGAAAUGCAUAGAUAUCACGCAGAACCCCGAUUGCGAAGGCAGCAUACCGGUGCACAACUGACGCUGAGGCACGAAAGCGUGGGUAUCGAACAGGAUUAGAUACCCUAGUAGUC